rnacentral:lncRNA from 1 species
GAAUUCACAACCCGCUCUAAUACUGUCUGUUGUAAAUUCAGUACUCGCUCGAGUACUGAUUGUUGGAAUUCCGCAACAAAAGCGUCCAAUCAACUUAAAGAUAAAAUGGGGUGUUAGGCAUAGCUUUUGAAAAGUGAUUUUUGGCUUAAUAAAGCGUUUGACAACCUUGUUUUCAAAAUUUGAUUAUGAUUGUUAUAAUUGGUCCUUUGAUUUUCCAAACCCAAAUCAGUAAAAUGUACUUCUUGAAAUCUAAUUUUAUUUUGGACUCGAAAAUCAAGUUUGUAUUUUAAUUUUCGAUUCAAAGUUUUAACCUAAAUUUAAAUUUAAUUUUUACUUUUGAAAUUUAUUUUUGAAUUUUUAAAUUUCAACUUUUAAAAUUUAAAAUUUACAAUUUAUAUAUUAAGUUUUAAAUUUUAAAUUUUAAAUUUAGAUUUCAAAUCUAAAAUUCAAAAUUUUAAUAUUAAUAAUUUGAAAUUUAAAAUUUAAGAUAAAAUUUCAAAUUUCAAAUUAUAUAUUUUCAUUUCUAAAAUUACAAAUUUCAAUUUUUUAAAUUCAAAUUUAAAAUUUAAAAUUUUAAAUGUAAUUUUAAAAUAUAAGUUUUAUUUUUAAAUUUUAAAUAUUCAAAUAUAAAAUAUAAAAUAUAAAAUUUAAAAUUUAAAAUUUUAAAUGUAAUUUUAAAAUAUAAGUUUUAUUUUUAAAUUUUAAAUAUUCAAAUAUAAAAUAUAAAAUAUAAAAUUUAAAAUUUAAAAUUUUAAAUACUCAAAUUUUAAGUUUUAAAUUUAAAUAUCUAAAUUUCAAAUGUCAAAUUUUAAAAUUUGAUUUUAAAUUUGAAAUUGAAAAUUUAUAUUUAGCUUUAAAAAUUGAAAUUGAAAAUUUUAAAAUUUGAAAUUUACUUUUUAAAUUAAAAUAUUAAAAUUUAAAUUUUGUCACAAAUUUUAAAUUUUUAUUCAAAUUUUAAAUUAUUUUGAAAGAAAAUUUAGUAAAACUAUUAUUAUAUGUAAACAUCAAAUUAUUUUUUGCCAAACAGCUUUACCAAUUUACUUCAGAAAAUCACUUUUAUCUAAACUCAGUCAAACGCUCUAUAGCUUUUAACCAAAGUCAAUUCUUCAAACCAAAAUCAGUUUUGUAGAAAUAAUUUUUCCAGAAUCUAAGGCCAGCUCAUCUUCUCAGCGAAAGCAUAUACAACUACAAAAUAAAGAAAAAAAUCUAACAAAAAAUAUAGGUGAAAAAAGAUUCACUAAUCAAUAGAAGAAUUACACCCGAAUUUUCUUCUAUGCAAAGUAGCUUCAAUCUCUAGCACCCAUCUCUCGUCUUCUAUAAAGUUAGAAGACUUCUCAUUU